rnacentral:rRNA from 1 species
GAAAGGCAUCUUUUUGUUUUUAAAAGACCUUCUUCGGAGGGUAUGCUUAAAGAGGGGCUUGCGCCACAUUAGUUAGUUGGUGAGGUAAAGGCUUACCAAGAUUAUGAUGUGUAGCUGGACUGAGAGGUUGAACAGCCACAUUGGGACUGAGACACGGCCCAAACUCCUACGGGAGGCAGCAGUAGGGAAUUUUCGGCAAUGGAGGAAACUCUGACCGAGCGACGCCGCGUGAACGAUGAAGUAUUUCGGUAUGUAAAGUUCUUUUAUUGAAGAAGAAAAAAUAGUGGAAAAACUAUAUUGACGUUAUUCAAUGAAUAAGCCCCGGCUAACUAUGUGCCAGCAGCCGCGGUAAGACAUAGGGGGCGAGCGUUAUCCGGAAUUAUUGGGCGUAAAGGGUGCGUAGGCGGUUAGAUAAGUCUAUAAUUUAAUUUCAGUGCUAACGCUGUCUUGUUAUAGAAACUGUCUUGACUAGAGUGAGAUAGAGGCAAGCGGAAUUCCAUGUGUAGCGGUAAAAUGUGUAAAUAUAUGGAGGAACACCAGAAGCGUAGGCGGCUUGCUGGGUCUUUACUGACGCUGAGGCACGAAAGCGUGGGGAGCAAACAGGAUUAGAUACCCUGGUAGUCCACGCUGUAAACGAUGAGUACUAAGUGUCGGGGAAACUCGGUACUGAAGUUAACACAUUAAGUACUCCGCCUGAGUAGUACGUACGCAAGUAUGAAACUUAAAGGAAUUGACGGGACUCCGCACAAGCGGUGGAUCAUGUUGUUUAAUUCGAAGAUACACGAAAAACCUUACCAGGUCUUGACAUACUCUGCAAAGCUAUAGAAAUAUAGUGGAGGUUAUCAGGGAUACAGGUGGUGCAUGGUUGUCGUCAGUUCGUGUCGUGAGAUGUUAGGUUAAGUCCUAAAACGAACGCAACCCCUGUCGUUAGUUGCCAGCACGUAAUGGUGGGGACUUUAGCGAGACUGCCAAUUAAACAUUGGAGGAAGGUGGGGAUAACGUCGAAUCAUCAUGCCCCUUAUGAUCUGGGCUACAAACGUGAUACAAUGGCUAUUACAAAGAGUAGCUGAAACGCGAGUUUUUAGCCAAUCUCAAAAAGGUAGUCUCAGUACGGAUUGAAGUCUGCAACUCGACUUCAUGAAGCUGGAAUCGCUAGUAAUCGCGAAUCAGCAUGUCGCGGUGAAUACGUUCUCG